AUGACUCCGGCCUCCUCCGCCCCUCCCUUUUAUAGGCCGAGCGAAGGAGGGCAACUGCUCCAUCAACGGGUGGCCAUCAUCCUCCUCCACCAAUUCAAGGCGGGUAGGCCCUCUCCAAGAUGCUCUCCCACACCACGCGCCUCCAUUACCUACCCCACGCGAUGCAUGCAGCAUACGUGGCCAAGGAUAAGGGUGCCCAGUGGGAAGAGUAAAUUGGCAGUUUCUACCCCGUGCGUUAAAGUCAUUCACGGGCCAUUACUAGAGCGGACCCACCACUAUUGGCUUUACGCCACGAGCAGGGAACCCGGAAACUAG
rnacentral:rRNA from 1 species